AUGAUAAUUGUAAAAUAUUAAUCUAUUCGUUAUUAUAUUUUUAGAAAGUAUAAUGCAUUAAAGCACAACACACACAAACCUUCAAAUAUUAUAAUGCAUGUACAUGUACAAGUUUAAAAAUUAUUUUUUACAGUACAUAAGCGCAUUUAACAAAAUUACGAUUUUAUGGGGUUUUCUUUGUUGUUUGUUUGUCUGUUUGUUUUUUGUAACACUCUCAAUAAUCUGUUUAAUUUACAACUUUGAACUUUUUUUUCCGGUGCAUAAAUAUGUUUUUAAAAAAUGUAUAAAAACUAUUUUCACUCUGAAAAAAGAGAAAAGUUUUAAAUUAAUUUUUUUUUUUUUUUUUCAAAAUUAGAAAUUGUUUCUACACAUUUUAUGUAUUUGAUAAAAAAAAAAAUCUAAUUUGUAAAUAAAACAGGUGUGUUUGAGUUCAUUUCACAAGUAAAUAUUAUUUUAAUACUUUUUCACAAAACUACGUUUAAUUUAAUUGUUAAUUGUGUUACUUCUCAUUUUUUAACAACUAGUGUAAUUUUAAAAUUUGAUGCACUGAAAAAAAUUUGCUAAAGAAACAAUUUUCACUCAAAAAAUGCAGUUUUUCUACUUCAAAAUUAGAAAUUGUUUCUACACACAUUUGUUUUUUGUAAAAAAACAAAAACAAAUUUGUGAAUAAAACAAAGAUGGUAUUUGAGUACAUUUCACAAGAAAAUAUUUUUAUACUUCUACGUUUAUACUAAAAUUUCAUGUUUAGUUUAAUUAAUUGUGUUACUUGUCAUUUCUUAAUAAUUACUGCAAUUGUGAAAUUUGAUACACUGAAAAAAAUAGAAAAAGAAACAAGUACAUUUUACAAAUAAUUACUAAGAAAAUUAAAAAAUGUAUAUCUGUUUUGUUUAGAAGAUGGAAAAAUAAUUUCAGUGCUUAAAUACAAUAAAGAAAAUUGUCAUACAAAGUUUGUUUUUUUUCCAUUCAAAAAUUGUUAAUAAAUUUCACAAAUAAUUACAAAUAAAUGGCAAGAAACACAAUUAAGCAAUUAAAUUUGAAUCAAAUUAAGCAUGAAUAAUUAAUUUUUCAGUUCUUUUAAAUUAUAAUAAAAAAUAUUUCACUAUUUUUUGCUGUAUUCUUAAAUAGUUUAAAAUCCUAAUUAUUCUCAGCUCUUCAUUUGAAGUGUAUAUUGUGCCUUUUUUGUUAAUAGCAAUGAGGGCAUAAUAAUUAGUCUAAGUAAAGACUAAACAGUAGAUUAAACUUUUCUGUGCAAUCUAAAUUAAUCUCAUUUGUAUUGUGUGUGUGUGUGUGUGUGUGUGUAUAUAUAUAAUAUAUAUAUAUAUGUAUAAUUAUUAUUAAUUUUUUAUUUUUUUAUUUCUUUUAUUCAUCUGUGAGUUGGUUGAUUAAGUGCCUGUGGAGAUGAUGAUUGGGGAAAAAUACUUCCUGGCGCAAAAUUGCUGAAAAAGCGGGCAAAGAGCCGGCGCUGCUGACGGAUGGUCGGUGACAGACGGCGACAUCCUCUUAGCGAGCAGACAGGUGAACCGUGCCACUGAGAGUAACGCGCAUCGCUAACACGCCGCACAGAUUAAAGGGCUACUUGCACCGCUGAUAACGAAGAGGUCUGAAUACAUUAAAUCACGCCGUGAGGACGGACGCCACGUGGGCUGUAAUCACAUUGCCUGCUGCUCUGCGCUCAGAGCGACUGCUCAUUCAAAAGCCAUCAUGAAGCACUCAAGCCUCACGUAUUUCCAUCCGUCCCCGGAAAGCGGCCUCGUUCCGACCGAAACGCUCGCUCUCGGUCUCCGUUCGCUCUCAGACUAAACAUUCUCUGAGCAAGGAACGGGAUCGGAGUCCGCUGUGCCUUCAUGCUGUCAGAUAGCAGAUGAACGUUGUCCUGUUUGAUAAGGACAAGAACAUCUUGGCAAAUCUGACAAGACAUCUUUCUUCUGUUUCUUUUGACAAACCCAACACAGGCGACAUUUUAAGGACAGAGAGAUAGUGUUUGUGUUUACACCAGUGCUCAAGAGUUGGUUAAGAGUCUCUUCUGCUCACUAAGGCUGCAUUUAUUUUAUCAAAAGUACAAUAAAAAUUGUGAAAUAUUAUUUUAAUUUAAACUAGAUGUUUUGUAUGUGAUUAUCUGUUCAUAUGUAAUUUAUUUCUGUGAUGCGCAGCUGAAUUUUCAGCAUCAUUACUCUAGUCUUCAGUGUCACAUGAUCUUUUAGAAAUCAUGCUAAUAUGCUGAUUUCCUGCAUUUUUUGAUCAAAAAUGCAGUAAAAAUAGUGACAUAUUAUUCUAAUUUUAAAAAGCUGUUUUCUAUGUGAUUAUCUGUCCAAAUGUAAUUUAUUUAUGCGAUAGAAUCAGAAUUUUCAGCAUCAUUACUCCAGUCUUCAGUGUCACAUGAUCCUUCAGAAGUUUCUAAUAUGCUGAUUUCCGACAUUUAUUUGAUUAAAAAUGCAGUAAAAAUUGUGAAAUAUUAUUUUAAUUUAAAAUAGAUGUUUUCUAUAUGAAAAUCUGUUAAAAUGUAAUUUAUUUCUGUGGUAAAAGGUGGAUUUUCAGCAUUGUUACUCCAGUCUUCAGUGUCACAUGAUCUUUUAGAAAUCUUUCUGAUAUGCUGAUUUCCUGCAUUUAUUUAAUCAUAAAUGCUGUAAAAAUAGUGAAAUAUUAUUCUAAUUUAAAACAACUGUUUUCUAUGUGAAUAUCUGUUAAAAUAUAAUUUAUUUAUGCGAUAGAAUCUGAAUUUUCAGCAUCAUUACUCCAGUCUUCAGUUUCACAUGAUCCUUCAGAAAUCAUUCUAAUAUGCUGAUUUCCUGCUUAAGAAACAUUUCUGAUUAUUAAAAUGUUGAAAUUGCUGAGUAGAUCUAAUACUUUUAUUCAUCAAGGAUGGAAUAAAUUGAUCAAAAGUGACAGGAAAGAUGUUUAUAAUGUUACAAAAGAUUUCUGUUUUCAGUAAAUGCUGCUCUUUUGAACUUUAUAUUCAUCUGUGAAUCCUGACAAAUAACAGAAAUGACAGUUUUCACUAAAAUAUUGUGCAGCACAAUGUUUUCAAUUGUUUUCAGCAUUACUAAUAAUCAUAAAUGUUUGUUGAGCAGCAAAUCAGCAUAUUAGAAUGAUUUUUUUAAAUAUCAUGUGACACUAAACACUGGAAUAACGAUGCUGAAAAUGCAGAUUUGAUCACAUAAAUAAAUUUCUUUUCAAUAUAGAUUCAAGUAGAAAACAGCUAUUUUAAAUUAGAAUAAUAUUUUGCAAUUUUUACUGUGUUUUUGAUCAAAUAAAAGCAGCAAAUCAGCAUAUUAGAAUGAUAUUUGAAAUAUCAUGUGACACUAAACACUGGAAUAAUGAUGCUGAAAAUUCAGCUGCGCAUCAGAUUAAAAUGACGUUUUAACAGAUAUUCACAGCUGUUUUAAAUUAGAAUAAUAUUCACUAUUUGUACUGCAUUUGUGAUCAAAUAAAUGCAGCAAAUCAGCAUAUUGGAAUGAUUUUUUUAAAUAUCAUGUGACACUAAACACUGGAAUAACGAUGCUGAAAAUGCAGAUUUGAUCACAUAAAUAAAUUUCUUUUCAAUAUAGAUUCAAGUAGAAAACAGCUCUUUUAAAUUAGAAUAAUAUAUCACAAUUUUUACUGUGUUUUUGAUUAAAUAAAUGCAGCAUUGGUGAGCAGAAGUAGCUUCUUUAAAAAAGUUAAAAUAUUCUGAAUUAUUCCAAACUGCGUGUACUUGCAAAAAGUGUUUUAAAUGCUCCUGACAUGCAGGUGAAUAGGUGGCAAUACAUUGCAAAAAAUAGCUGUUCUUACUUAAAUCAAGAUAAAAUUACUUUACAAGUAAAACAAUGUAAGAUUUUAAGUCUUGCUGGUGCUAAAACGUAAUUUUCAUAAUUUAUUUAGAAAAGACUUAAUGUCUUAAGUGAUUUUACUAAAGUAAAUGCAUUUUGGUUUAAGAAUGUUUCGAUAUUUCUACUAGAAAACAAGACAAAAAUACUAAGUAAGAACAUCUUUUUUUGCAGUGCCUUUUAAAACGCCUUCUUUUGGCUGUAUUAUAAGUUCAUUUUGAGCUCAUUUUAAUUCAAAAAGCAACUUAACCUUGAUGCAACUUUGACAUUUUAACAGUUUUGUUUACUGAACAUAAUGUCUUUCAAAACAGAUCAGUUUGUAAACAUUUCUUAUCCUGUUUUUGCCUUUGAUUAUAUUUUUGCAUAUCACAGUGACCCUUCAAGAUAAAGGUUUUUUUUUUUUUCAUUUGCACAUUAUAUUUUAAUGCAUUGCUUGAUAAGUGUAAAUAGACUAAUGAAGUAUAAGCAUUAUUAUUUUUAAUAAAUGUCACCAUUUGUUUUUUAUUGCAAUAAUCCACUCAAGGUUGUGCAUUAUGGUGAUUUUUAGCAGGAGGUUUUAAGUGUUUCAAUUCACACGUGAUAAUCAGGCUUGAGUGAUUUAUUGCUGUAGUGUUGCACGCAGUUGUUCAGAUGUUUGUGCGGUGAAAUGUCCCUGAUGGUCAUCAUGCCCUUGGGCUCAAUCAAACACUGUUAGCUUUCAGUUUUCUCAGCUGUCUCUCUCCCUCUCUCUCUCACACUCCAGGAGACGGACGACCAUCUCUAAGAUCGCUCGUCUUUCUCGUGUUAAAGCUCCAGAGACGCUUCACCUCAGCAGACGGAUCUCUCGAGCUUACGCUGCCAUGAGACUCGGGCUAAGAGUCAAUCUGAGGUGUCUGACUCACGUAGAAAUUAUGAAUAAAACCAAUUUAAAGGCUCUAAAUAUGAUGAGAGGGAAUAUGAAAGGUCAGUCUGAGGCUUUAAACUCACCUAGAAAUUAUGGACAGAAGUGAUUUAAAAGCCCUACAAACAUGAUGAGAGGAAAUAUGAAAGCCCUACAAACAUGAUGAGAGGAAAUAUGAAAGGUCAAUCUGAGGCAUCUGACUCACCUAGAAAUUAUGGACAGAAGUGAUUUAAAGGCCCUAUAAACAUGAUGAGAGGGAAUAUGAAAGGUCAAUCUGAGGCUUUGAACUCACCUAGAAAUUAUGGACAGAAGUGAUUUAAAGGGUCCAUCUGAGGCAUCUGACUCACCUAGAAAUUAUGGACAGAAGUGAUUUAAAGCAGCUUUAAAGCAUUUAUGAAAUAAAAACGUGUUAAUAUUAUACCAUUUAUUUAAAAUAUUAAUUUAUUUUUAAGCAGACAGCAGUAUUUAUCGUGAUCCUUGGCUUAACAAACAUCUCUAAUUAAGGAUAGUGUGUUCAAAUUUUAAAAUGUGCAUUUUUAAUUAGCUUUUAAAAAAAUAAGCUCAGGAUUUUCCAGUGCAGAAGUUGAAAGGUUUUGCUUUUACAGCCUUGUGAUCACAAUUAGAGGGGAUAUAAGAGAUAACGUACGUUUGGCAUGUAAAAGAAAACCAAAACAUGAUGCAAAAGAUUAUUACUGCUAUCAUCUUGCGUGACAAUAAAUCAGUUAUUCAGGCAGGGAUGUCUUAAUUAUGCUAAAUCUCACACCACUGUUUGUUUACA